rnacentral:misc_RNA from 1 species
GAUGAAGAACGUAGUAAAAUGCGAUAAGUAAUGUGAAUUGCAGAAUUCAGUGAAUCAUCGAAUCUUUGAACGCACAUUGCGCCCGCCAGUAUUCUGGCGGGCAUGCCUGUUCGAGCGUCAUUUCAACCCUCAAGCCCUCGGGUUUGGUGUUGGGGAUCGGCGAGCCUUUCUGGCAAGCCGGCCCCGAAAUCUAGUGGCGGUCUCGCUGCAGCCUCCAUUGCGUAGUAGUAAAACCCUCGCAACUGGAACGCGGCGCGGCCAAGCCGUUAAACCCCCAACUUCUGAAUGUUGACCUCGGAUCAGGUAGGAAUACCCGCUGAACUUAAGCAUAUCAAUAAGCGGAGGA